CCUACGGGAGGCAGCAGUGGGGAAUAUUGGACAAUGGGCGAAAGCCUGAUCCAGCAAUGCCGCGUGAGUGAUGAAGGCCUUAGGGUUGUAAAGCUCUUUUACCAGGGAUGAUAAUGACAGUACCUGGAGAAUAAGCUCCGGCUAACUCCGUGCCAGCAGCCGCGGUAAUACGGAGGGAGCUAGCGUUGUUCGGAAUUACUGGGCGUAAAGCGUACGUAGGCGGUUAUUCAAGUCAGAGGUGAAAGCCUGGAGCUCAACUCCAGAACUGCCUUUGAAACUAGAUAGCUAGAAUCUUGGAGAGGUGAGUGGAAUUCCGAGUGUAGAGGUGAAAUUCGUAGAUAUUCGGAAGAACACCAGUGGCGAAGGCGACUCACUGGACAAGUAUUGACGCUGAGGUACGAAAGCGUGGGGAGCAAACAGGAUUAGAUACCCUGGUAGUCCACGCCGUAAACGAUGAUAACUAGCUGUUCGGGCUCUACGAGCUUGAGUGGCGCAGCUAACGCAUUAAGUUAUCCGCCUGGGGAUACGGUCGCAAGNUUAAAACUUAAAUGAAUUGACGG
rnacentral:rRNA from 1 species